rnacentral:misc_RNA from 1 species
UGUUUACAGUCGGUCAGAGAAACUCUUCACUCCACGGGGUCAGUGAGUUCUGACGGUGAGCUGGAAAAUUCCCUGUCCGGAUCUAACGAGGAUUCGGAUAGCUCCGAUCAGGAUAUCUCUUCCUUUGUGACCCCACCCCCUAGUCCUAUGGACGUAGAUUAUACCCCUCGCCCCCGGGGACGACCAGGUAGGAAACCCUCAGCUGGCGGACCGGUGAAAAAGAAGAGGCAGCCAGAAAAAGGUACCCGUGAAUAUUUCGAAAAGAGAGCGAGAAAUAAUCUUGCAAUUCGCAAAUGUCGUGAAAAGGCUAAGCUGAAGCAGGUGGAAAUGGAAAAUCGUCUGCAGUAUCUAGAAUCGGAAAACAUGCAGCUAAAAGGUAAACUGGACAAUGUUACAAAGCAGCUUGAACUAUUGAAAGACUUUGUGAUCUCAAAUGGUGCCAAUCUCCCAGAAAACAUUGCAAAAGUCGCGAAGAGCUGACCAGGGGUACAUCGGCUCAUGUGAUAGCUGUCGCUAGGCUGACCAAUGACUUAACAGACAAUCAAGCAGUGUUUUGCAUUUGUGAUGCUACAUACCAUUGACUUUUUCAGUCAUCAUUCGUAUUGAUUUAUCAUGUCAAGCGGUAUACCAGUGUACUCAGUAUUUAUCUGAGAAAUUAAUUUUCGUCUUCAUUUCCAUUGUUUUGUUCACAUAUGCACAGUAUUCUCUUCUUACAGUUGAAUGUUCUCUAUGUCACUGAUGAAUUAUCUCUGAGAUGGCAAGCAAUUUUCAUAUCAUUUUACAUAUUUCGUGCAUGCAGUCAACCCGAAAACUGCCCUACAUUUUAACCCGACCAAAAACCACCCUCAAUCCUCGUCACGAUUUUACUCUGUUCAAAGAGUGCAGUCAUGCGAGGACCAUUCAAUACCGCCCUUUAAAACACCACCGGAUCGAUGGUGUCGAUUUCUGUGUGAUUAUUUAGGACGUUCUCCUCUGAAAACAAAUGCUUUAAAAAAAUACACAACCCCCGGGUCUUAGUUACGGGUCUGACUGCACGCCCCGUCUUGUGUCUGACAUGGCUAUGACUUUAAUCAUUCAUCUACCCGGUAGCUGCGAGCAGUUCCACCUUUUACUUAUUGUAUAUUAAUAUAUUUUUUACACGUUUCAGUAGAACUGAAUUUGGUAUGAUUAUUAAACUGAUGGUCCUACAUCUACUGUCUUGAUACAGUGGACUGUAAGGCACAUGUUAAUAAACUGUUCAAAAAU